CAGCCGCCACGGGAACACAGAGGGUGCAAGCGUUAAUCGGAAUUACUGGGCGUAAAGCGCGCGUAGGUGGUUUGUUAAGUUGGAUGUGAAAUCCUCGGGCUCAACCUGGGAACUGCAUUCAAAACUGACUGACUAGAGUAUGGUAGAGGGUGGUGGAAUUUCCUGUGUAGCGGUGAAAUGCGUAGAUAUAGGAAGGAACACCAGUGGCGAAGGCGACCACCUGGACUAAUACUGACACUGAGGUGCGAAAGCGUGGGGAGCAAACAGGAUUAGAUACCCGGGUAGUCCCUGUCUCUUAUAC
rnacentral:rRNA from 1 species